rnacentral:lncRNA from 1 species
AAGCAUUCCAUUCACCAAAAGUUUUUAAAAUUUCAAGGCAUCCGAACCCAAUAUUUUCUUCUUCAAAUUUUGGUAACAAACUGGUAGCACAUUGUAUAGACCCUCGAUCAGUUACUAGCUUCCUAUCCCAUUUUUAGGUGGAAAACCCAAGAAACAGCGACACAAGAACCCAAACAAAUUGUGGCAUACCUAAAUAGGAUAAACAGGGCAAAUACUCUUCAACACAACUACUAUUACAAGUAGAAGCAAGAGGUGAAAAUGACCCAAAAUUUGUCCAAAAAAAGACUCAACUAAAAAUGGAAUACCAAAAUACCAAAAAUGCCCCU